rnacentral:rRNA from 1 species
AUGGGGCCGGUGAAGGAGGGGAGCUUGAAGAAGCUGUGCAGCCAGCACGUGGUGUCGUUCUUCCUCGGGGCACCUCUGCCCAUGGUCGUCCUCUUCGUCUUGGCCUCCGACCGGGUGGGCGAGCAGCUGUCCGGCAUCUCCGGCAGCUGGCUGGGGAACAGCAACGGCGGAACUCCCGGGGCGGCGCCUGCACCGCUGGAACAUGCGGUGGAGAGAUUCCCGGGGCUCGCGGAGCUGCUGCCCAAGGUGUGCACGGAGGACCGGACGGUGAUCAUCACGUCGGUGAACGAGGCGUGGGCGCGGCCGGGCUCCCUCCUCGACCUCUACCUCGAGAGCUUCAACAACGGCGAGGACACCGCGCACCUCCUUGACCACCUCCUCGUCGUCGCCCUCGACCCCGCCGGCUUCCGCCGCUGCGUCGCCGUGCACCCGCACUGCUACCUCCUCGAGGUGACCACCGUGAACCUCACCUCCGCCGCCCGGUUCAUGUCCAGGCAGUACCUCGAACUGGUCUGGACCAAGCUCGAGCUCCAGCAGCGCGUCCUCGAGCUCGGCUACAACUUCCUCUUCACCGACACCGACAUGCUCGUGCUCCGGAACCCGUUCCGGCGGAUCCCGGUGUACGCGGACAUGAGCGUGUCCUCCGACGACUACUCGGCGGCGCGGGCGCACCCGCUGGACAACCCGCUCAACACGGGGCUCUACUACGUGAAGGCGACGAGCCGGGGCGUGCGCGUGCUCAAGUACUGGCGGGCGGCGCGGGCGAGGUUCCCCGGCGCACACGACCAGUCGGUGUUCCACAACAUCAAGCGCGAGCUCGUCCAGAAGCUGGGGGUCGCCAUCGAGCCCCUGGACACGGUCUACUUCGGCGGGUUCUGCGAGUACCACGACGACCUCGCCAGCGCCUGCACCAUGCACGCCGACUGCUGCGUCGGCGUGGACAACAAGGUGCACGACCUCAAGGACGUCGCCGCCGACUGGAAGAGGUACACGCGCAUGGCGCCGGAGGAGAGGAAGAAGGCGGGCGGGAAUGUGACAUGGACGGUGCCCGCGCGGUGCCGGAGGUCCGUGAACUGGAGUAAGCCCGUGCACCCCUGA